AUUGAACGCUGGCGGCAGGCCUAACACAUGCAAGUCGAACGAGUGGCGGACGGGUGAGUAAUGGCUGGGAAACUGCCUGAUGGAGGGGGAUAACUACUGGAAACGGUAGCUAAUACCGCAUACCAUCGGAUGUGCCCAGAUGGGAUUAGCUAGUAGGUGGGGUAAAGGCUCACCUAGGCGACGAUCCCUAGCUGGUCUGAGAGGAUGACCAGCCGCACUGUGACUGAUACACGUGCCGGACUCCUACGUGAGGCAGCAGUGGGGAAUAUUGCACAAGGGGCGCAAGCCUGAUGCAGCCAUGCGGCGUGUAUGAAGAAGGCCGUCGGGUUGUAAAGUACUUUCAGCGGGGAGGCGUUACCCGCAGAAGAAGCACCGGCUGACUCCGUGCCAGCAGCCGCGGUAAUAC
rnacentral:rRNA from 1 species